rnacentral:rRNA from 1 species
GAUGAACGCUGGCGGCGUGCCUAAUACAUGCAAGUCGAACGCUUCACUUCGGUGAAGAGUGGCGAACGGGUGAGUAAUACAUAAGUAACCUGGCAUCUACAGGGGGAUAACUGAUGGAAACGUCAGCUAAGACCGCAUAGGUGUAGAGAUCGCAUGAACUCUAUAUGAAAAGUGCUACGGGACUGGUAGAUGAUGGACUUAUGGCGCAUUAGCUGGUUGGUAGGGUAACGGCCUACCAAGGCGACGAUGCGUAGCCGACCUGAGAGGGUGACCGGCCACACUGGGACUGAGACACGGCCCAGACUCCUACGGGAGGCAGCAGUAGGGAAUUUUCGGCAAUGGGGGAAACCCUGACCGAGCAACGCCGCGUGAAGGAAGAAGUAAUUCGUUAUGUAAACUUCUGUCAUAGAGGAAGAACGGUGGAUAUAGGGAAUGAUAUCCAAGUGACGGUACUCUAUAAGAAAGCCACGGCUAACUACGUGCCAGCCGCCGCCGUAACAC